rnacentral:misc_RNA from 1 species
GGAAAUAGGAAUUGAAGGAACGAAAUGGGAAUAUAUUAAUAAUGGUAAUUAAGGUGAAUUUAGGGAGCUAGGAAAUGGAGUUUAUAGAAUACUUAUGGAAUGAGCACCAGAUAAUUGUUAUAUAGUGUCAUGUGUUAGCUUUCUUCUUCUAUUAAAUUUUCCCCAAGCAAGUACUCUAGGUACUUGUGGCAUUGUUUUGAUGUGGCGUGUGAGAGUGAACGUAUGUUUAGCAUUGCUGGUGAGCGCUAAGAAAAGCACCAUCUUAAACAUAUUAAUUAGAAGAUAUUAAAAAUAUUUUUAGUUAAAUUUCACAUGUUUUAGUUGAACUUCAAAGUAGUUAAAUUGAUUUUUUUCAACAGUAAGAUGGUUUUUUAAAAUGUGGGUUUAAAUCACAAUGCCAAACAAGAUAUAUAUCUUACUGGCUAAUUGACUUGCAGGUAAAAAAUGAUUCACAAACGG